GCAUUGGCGGCGGGCCUACACAUGCAGUCGAGCGGUAACACAGGGAGCUUGCUCCUGGGUGACGAGCGGCGGACGGGUGAGUAAUGUCUGGGAAACUGCCCGAUGGAGGGGGAUAACUACUGGAAACGGUAGCUAAUACCGCAUAAUGUCGCAAGACCAAAGAGGGGGACCUUCGGGCCUCUUGCCAUCGGAUGUGCCCAGAUGGGAUUAGCUAGUAGGUGGGGUAACGGCUCACCUAGGCGACGAUCCCUAGCUGGUCUGAGAGGAUGACCAGCCACACUGGAACUGAGACACGGUCCAGACUCCUACGGGAGGCAGCAGUGGGGAAUAUUGCACAAUGGGCGCAAGCCUGAUGCAGCCAUGCCGCGUGUAUGAAGAAGGCCUUCGGGUUGUAAAGUACUUUCAGCGAGGAGGAAGGCAUUAAGGUUAAUAACCUUGGUGAUUGACGUUACUCGCAGAAGAAGCACCGGCUAACUCCGUGCCAGCAGCCGCGGUAAUACGGAGGGUGCAAGCGUUAAUCGGAAUUACUGGGCGUAAAGCGCACGCAGGCGGUCUGUCAAGUCGGAUGUGAAAUCCCCGGGCUCAACCUGGGAACUGCAUUCGAAACUGGCAGGCUAGAGUCUUGUAGAGGGGGGUAGAAUUCCAGGUGUAGCGGUGAAAUGCGUAGAGAUCUGGAGGAAUACCGGUGGCGAAGGCGGCCCCCUGGACAAAGACUGACGCUCAGGUGCGAAAGCGUGGGGAGCAAACAGGAUUAGAUACCCUGGUAGUCCACGCCGUAAACGAUGUCGAUUUGGAGGUUGUUCCCUUGAGGAGUGGCUUCCGGAGCUAACGCGUUAAAUCGACCGCCUGGGGAGUACGGCCGCAAGGUUAAAACUCAAAUGAAUUGACGGGGGCCCGCACAAGCGGUGGAGCAUGUGGUUUAAUUCGAUGCAACGCGAAGAACCUUACCUACUCUUGACAUCCAGAGAACUUUCCAGAGAUGCAUUGGUGCCUUCGGAACUCUGAGACAGUGCUGCAUGGCUGUCGUCAGCUCGUGUGUGAAAUGUUGGGUUAAGUCCCGCACGAGCGCACCCUAUCUUUGUGCAGCGAUCGCGGACUCAAGAACUGCAGUGAUACUGAGGAGUGGGAAUGACGUCAGUCAUCAUGCUACCGAUAGCCUACCACUGCUACAUGCAUAUCAGGAGCACCUCGCGAGAGACAAGCGGAAACCUUCUUUAG
rnacentral:rRNA from 1 species